rnacentral:rRNA from 1 species
CGUCAGCAAUGUGAAACUCAAAGGAAUUGACGGGGGCCCGCACAAGCGGAGGAACAUGUGGUUUAAUUCGAUGAUACGCGAGGAACCUUACCUGGGCUUAAAUGUAGAGUGCAUAGAGUGGAAACAUUCUUUCCUUCGGGACUCUUUACAAGGUGCUGCAUGGUUGUCGUCAGCUCGUGCCGUGAGGUGUCGGGUUAAGUCCCAUAACGAGCGCAACCCUCAUUGCCAGUUGCCAUCACAUCAUGGUGGGGACUCUGGUGAAACUGCCGGUGCAAACCGUGAGGAAGGUGAGGAUGACGUCAAAUCAGCACGGCCCUUAUGUCCAGGGCUACACACGUGUUACAAUGGUCGGUACAACGGGCAGCUACACAGCGAUGUGGUGCUAAUCCUAAAAACCGAUCUUAGUUCGGAUCGGAGUCUGCAANNNGACUCCGUGAAGCUGGAUUCGCUAGUAAUCGCACAUCAGCCAUGGUGCGGUGAAUACGUUCCCGGGCCUUGUACACACCGCCCGUCAAGCCAU